rnacentral:rRNA from 1 species
AGAGUUUGAUCAUGGCUCAGGAUAAACGCUGGCGGCGUGCCUAAAACAUGCAAGUCGAACGGGUUGUGUCUUUCGGGGCACAGCUAGUGGCGGACGGCUGAGUAACACGUGGGUGACCUGCCCUCGAGCGGGGGAUAACUGCCCGAAAGGGUGGCUAAUACCGCAGAUGUCGUGCAUUCGGUUGUGCGACUGAACUUGAGGGGCUCGGGGAGGGGCCCGCGGUCGAUUAGCUAGCUGGUGGGGUAACGGCCUACCAGGGCGACGAUCGAUAGCUGGUCUGAGAGGAUGAUCAGCCAGACUGGGACUGCGAACGGCCCAGACUCCUACGGGAGGCAGCAGUUAGGAAUUUUGGGCAAUGGGCGAAAGCCUGACCCAGCAACGCCGCGUGGGUGAUGAAGGCCCUCGGGUCGUAAAGCCCUUUUCCCAGGGACGAUGGUGACGGUACCUGGGGAAUCAGCCCCGGCUAACUACGUGCCAGCAGCCGCGGUA